CGGGGUGCAGCAGGCGCGAAAACUUUACAAUGCACGAAAGUGUGAUAGGGGAACUCAGCGUGCUCAUGUUAAACAUGGGCUUUUCUUUAGGGUAAAUACCUAAGGGAAUAAAGGAUGGGCAAGACCGGUGCCAGCAGCCGCGGUAACACCGGCGUCCUUAGUGGGAAUCACUUAUUAGGUCUAAAGCGCUCGUAGUCGGCUUUGUAAAUUUCUUGUGAAAUCGUGUCGCUUAACGGCACGGCGUGCAGGAAACACUGCAGAGCUUGGGACUGGGAGGCGUCAGAAGUAUUCCUUAGGGAGCGGUAAAAUGUGAUAAUCUAAGGAGGACUACCUGUGGCGAAGGCGUCUGACGAGAACAGGUUCGACGAUCAGGAGCGAAGGCUAGGGGAGCAAACCGGAUUAGAUACCCGAGUAGUCCUAGCAGUAAACACUGUGUGCAAGGUGUUGCGUCUACAAUAGGUAGAUGCAGUAUCGAAGCGAAGGCAAUAAGCACACCACCUGGGAAGUACGGUCGCAUGACUGAAACUUAAAGGAAUUGGCGGGGGAGCACUACAACGGGUGCGGCGUGCGGUUUAAUCCUAUUCAACAAGGAGAAUCUCACCAGAAGCGACGGCAGUAUGAAGGUCAAGCUAAAGACUUUACCUGACGAGCCGAGAGGUAGUGCAUGGCCGUCGUCAGCUCGUGCCGUAAGGUGUCCUGUUAAGUCAGGCAACGAGCGAGACCCCCGCC
rnacentral:rRNA from 1 species